rnacentral:rRNA from 1 species
CUGGGGGGCUGCCUUACACAUGCAAGUCGAACGGUAACAGGGAGCUUGCUCCGCUGACGAGUGGCGAACGGGUGAGUAAUACAUCGGAACGUGCCCAGUAAUGGGGGAUAGCUCGGCGAAAGCCGGAUUAAUACCGCAUACGCCCUGAGGGGGAAAGUGGGGGACCGCAAGGCCUCACGUUAUUGGAGCGGCCGAUGGCUGAUUAGCUAGUUGGUAGGGUAAAGGCCUACCAAGGCGACGAUCAGUAGCUGGUCUGAGAGGACGAUCAGCCACACUGGGACUGAGACACGGCCCAGACUCCUACGGGAGGCAGCAGUGGGGAAUUUUGGACAAUGGGGGAAACCCUGAUCCAGCAAUGCCGCGUGUGCGAAGAAGGCCUUCGGGUUGUAAAGCACUUUUGUCAGGGAAGAAAUCCUUUGGGCUAAUACCCUAGGGGGAUGACGGUACCUGAAGAAUAAGCACCGGCUAACUACGUGCCAGCAGCCGCGGUAAUACGUAGGGUGCAAGCGUUAAUCGGAAUUACUGGGCGUAAAGCGUGCGCAGGCGGUUGUGUAAGACAGGUGUGAAAUCCCCGGGCUUAACCUGGGAAUUGCAUUUGUGACUGCACGAC